rnacentral:rRNA from 1 species
UACGUAGGGUGCAAGCGUUGUCCGGAAUUAUUGGGCGUAAAGAGCUCGUAGGCGGGUCGUCGCGUCGGCUGUGAAAUCCCGAGGCUCAACCUCGGGUCUGCAGUCGAUACGGGCGGACUGGAGUACUGCAGGGGAGACUGGAAUUCCUGGUGUAGCGGUGAAAUGCGCAGAUAUCAGGAGGAACACCGGUGGCGAAGGCGGGUCUCUGGGCAGUUACUGACGCUGAGGAGCGAAAGCGUGGGGAGCGAACGGG